rnacentral:rRNA from 1 species
UACGUAGGCAGCGAGCGUUGUUCGGAGUUACUGGGCGUAAAGGGUGUGUAGGCGGUUGUUUAAGUUUGGUGUGAAAUCUCCCGGCUCAACUGGGAGGGUGCGCCGAAUACUGAGCGACUAGAGUGCGGGAGAGGAAAGUGGAAUUCCUGGUGUAGCGGUGAAAUGCGUAGAUAUCAGGAGGAACACCGGUGGUGUAGACGGCUUUCUGGACCGUAACUGACGCUGAGACGCGAAAGCGUGGGGAGCAAACCGG